CAUUAUGGUACUACAGAGGCGCAAAGGUUGUCGCUGACCUUUUCACAAAGGUCGUGCACGCCCGAGUGCUCUCACACACAAUCCACCUCACCACUUGUGCAUCACCAUGCGGAGGCCCCUUGCUCUUGGCUAGCUUCGAGAGGGGGGAGGCUUUCGUUUUUUUUACACACACACACAAUACAGUCUGGUAGUAUAGAAUGUCAUUCAUUUGCGAUAACACGCAAUCAAUACAACUUUCAACAAUGGAUCUCUUGGCUCUCGCAUCGAUGAAGAACGCAGCGAAAUGCGAUACGUAAUGUGAAUUGCAGAAUUCAGUGAAUCAUCGAAUCUUUGAACGCACCUUGCACCCCUUGGCAUUCCGAGGGGUACACCCGUUUGAGUGUCGUGAAAUUCUCAAACCUUCUUGGUUUCUUGACCAAGAAGGCUUUGGACUUUGGAGGUGUUUUGCUGGCUUUGCGAAAAGCCAGCUCCUCUUAAAUGCAUUAGUGGGGUCCUCUUUGCCGAUCCCCAGGCGUUGAUAAGAUGUUUCUACGUCUUGGGAUUUGCUCUGUUGAUUGGGAACCCGCUUCUAACCGUCUCACUAUGGGAGACAUCGUUCGAGCUUGCUCGACCCACGAACCUUGACCUCAAAUCGGGUGAGACUACCCGCUGAACUUAAGCAUAUCAAUAAGCGGAGGAAAAGAAACUAACAAGGAUUCCCCUAGUAACUGCGAGUGAAGCGGGAAAAGCUCAAAUUUAAAAUCUGGUGGCCUUAU
rnacentral:rRNA from 1 species